rnacentral:rRNA from 1 species
AUGAGGUACUAUUUUGCGGAGAAUCCCAUAUACCCCGAGUCCUACUUCCGGCACCAUUUUAGGAUGAGCAUCGAGUUGUUCAAACGCAUUGCGGAGAAACUGGCGAGCCAUGAUUGGUUUUUUCAGCAAAGGAGGAAUGUCAUCGAAGAACUCGGGCAUAGCACCUUUCAAAAGGUGACCGCCGCUUUGCGUAUGUUGGCAUAUAGUAUUCCGGCAGAUCUCGUUGCUGACCACUUGGCCAUGGGUGAGAGUCAAGUCAUCAUGUGUGUCAAGUGUUUGAUAGUCGGAAUUGUGCAAGUGUUUGGUCUGGAAUUUUUGAGAGCUCCCAAUGCUGAAGACGCCGCAAGGCUUUUGGAGAUGAACAGAGCUCGCGGGUUCCUAGAUAUGCUUGGCUCAAUAGAUUGCAUGUAUUGGGGUUGGAAGAACUGUCCUAAGGCAUGGCAUGGACAAUUCCAUGGCCAGAAAAAAGGUUCCACUAUACUCCUUGAAGUGGUGGACGAUCAGGAGACUUGGAUUUGGCAUGUUUUUUUGGAAUGUGUGGAUCUUUGA